rnacentral:rRNA from 1 species
UACAGAGGUCUCAAGCGUUGUUCGGAUUCAUUGGGCGUAAAGGGUGCGUAGGUGGCGGGGUAAGUCAGGUGUGAAAUUUCGGAGCUCAACUCCGAAACUGCAUUUGAUACUGCCUUGCUUGAGGACUGGAGAGGAGACUGGAAUUCACGGUGUAGCAGUGAAAUGCGUAGAUAUCAAGCGGAACACCAGUGGCGAAGGCGAGUCCCUGGACAACUCCUGACACUGGAGGCACGAAAGCUAGGGGAGCAAACAGG